rnacentral:misc_RNA from 1 species
GCAGCGGCACGCAAUGCCAUCACCGUAGCACAUAAGCCCCACAGGCGCUCGGUCUCUCUCAUCGUUCAUGCACGUGGGCAAACCCUCCACGCUCUCACUCGCGCACGGCAAGCACAGCUGUCAUCUCUCGUCCAUGGCGACCGCAUCGUCUUCGCUAUCAUCGAGUUGUUUCAUCGAUGCGGCCACAUACUUCGAAGGCCGUCGUGGGCGUCGAACCUUCCCCGAGAGAAACGCCUCGCAGAUUUCGUUUGGGGACGCGAGCUCCAACAGUUCGAUAGAAGAGGAAGAGGGGCUGGUGCGGCGACAGGCGCAAGCAUCUGCGCCGGUCUCAUGGCAGCAGCAGCAGCGCCACCAGCAGAUGCGGCCAACGCGACGACCGCGCGGACCUGGGAUAACUUUUGCCGCGCAUAUUGGAGCGAACGGCUUUCCAGCCGCUGCCUCGCGCCGCAGCGCCUGCGUUGAUGUCGUGCCUGAGUGCCUUUACCAGUAUGACACUAGCAAGCUGCACCCGCACAAGAGGCUGGCUCAGAUGCCGAAUCGUGUAAAGCAGUGCGACCGCAACCUGCAGCUGUUUCUGCGACCGGAGGAGCAGGUGGCACAGUCUGCCGCGGCAGCCGUGAUGCUUGGCGAGUCGCGGGAUGGGCAGCUGUCCUACUCUCGCUAUGCAUCUUCGCAGGCGCACGAGCACAGAAGAGACCCGCGGAUGACUGUCGGCGCGAUCGAGGCCUCGUCCAGCCCAUUUUCAGACUCUGCGCCGUACGAUCACGCCAUGCUGGCUGGCCGCCGCCCUUGCCUUCCCUAUGCGCCUGCCGCAGAACUCGACGACUCGCCGCUUUCGAGGGAGUCUCUGUUGUCAGAACGACUGCGACUGCUGGAGUACCUCUAUCAGCGAGAGCGCAGCAGGCUCCGUGGGGCAAGCCGCUCCGCGGAGAGAGAUGUGGAUGCAGUCAUAGAAGAGGGCGCACGGGCUCGGCACGGUCAAGCUGCAGUCUCCACACUGCCGUCCUGCACGGCAGUGCUCCCCCUGAAACACGGCGACAGCGCUGACGUCGCCGCAAACCUACCUUCGCUGAGACGUCGAGCGGAGCGCAGCAGUGUCAGACGUGAUGAGGGCGACGGCGCAGUGUAUGCGCAUCCACUGCAAGGUCGUGAGUGGCAGCCGUGGGAGCGCGAGCAUGCAUGUGAGACGAACCCAGUUACCCCUCGCACCCGAUCAUCCUUCCACGCAUCCGCGCAGAUCGCGGAUUCGAAUGAGAGCAGAGAUGACCAUACUGACAGAAGUGGCGGUGUUGAUCACGCACCCGCGAACUCUUUCGGCAACGCCAUGUGCUCAGCCAACUGGUGGUGUGCCUCCGCCUCACAUCCGCGACGGGUCACAGGCUCCUACGGCGACUUCUCUGGCAGCACGGAAGCCCGCAAUGAGCCGCCUAAGCACACCACUCGCAUCGGCUCGCGAAUGGCCGUGGCUGAUGCCGCUCCUCGAGUACCUCGCAUCUCCGCCUGGUUUGCGCCCCUGCGUAAUGACCGCGUAGCGCGGCAGGUGCAUCGUACCAAAAGCGCCGACCACGCUCGCGCAUCGCACUCGUUGCAAGAGAAAGAGCGACAAGCUGGUCAACUUCAGCGGCACAUCUCAGCGGCAUCGCCAUCGGCGCAGGGGAGCUCGUCCUCCAACACAGCGGGGGCAAGGCCAGUGGAAACCUCCCCUGCCGCCUCCGCUCGCACAAGAGCGGCAGUGACCCUCACCGACGUCUGCACACAUCAAAAGUUGUGGGCACCAUCUCUGCAGCAGCGACAGCACUGGAAGCUGGCGGGCAGCGCCGCUUCAUCUCCCCUCUUCCUCACAUCCUCUGCACGCGUACAGGGACGAGACGAAGCAGCGCUGACUCUGCGAGACGUGUGUCGGGCGUUGAACGCCUCCGCAGUGGUGGUGUGAGAAAAAGGUGAGGCAAUGCUGGCGGCGACGAUAGAGGGUCGCCUCGUCGCAGCUGAGGCGGACGCGGCCCAGAGGCUUCUGUUUGGCGAGGGUGCAACGCUUAGCUACACACGCGCACACACGUGGUGGUCGAUGAAGCGCUGCCGUGUUGCAGUUUUGUCUGCGUGUGUGCCUGCGCGGUGCUUCAUGGCCGCCCCUCCUCAUCCGUUGAUGAUGAUCCGCCCCCUCUGCUCGCUUCGCUUUUUUCGUUCGGCUUUGUAGUGCGUCGACGGCGUACAGACGAGAUCCGCUUGCGUGUGUGCCUGUGCGUGCACGCGCGACCCCUCGACACUCUUGCGUAAGG